GGGGCUAUAGCUCAGCCGGGAGAGCACUUGCAUGGCAUGCAAGAGGUCAGGGGUUCAACUCCCCUUAGCUCCA
rnacentral:tRNA from 1 species